GGAGUCGGACGGGUCAGCGCUGCGGGCUUUUGCCCGGAGAGGAAAGUCCGGGCUCCAUAGGGCAGAACGCUGGGUAACGCCCAGGGGGAGCGAUCCCCGGCAAGUGCAACAGAAAGCAGACCGCCCGCGUCCCUUGGCGGGAUGCGCGGCAAGGGUGAAACGGUGGGGUAAGAGCCCACCGGUUGCCGUGGCGACACGGCAAGCCAGGUAAACCCCGUUCGGAGCAAAACCAAAUAGGAGAGCUACAGCCCGGCCCGGGCUGCUCUCGGGUAGGUUGCUUGAGGCCGCGAGUAAUCACGGUCCUAGAGGAAUGCUGACCUCUCCCCCCGGUUCGGUUUCGGCCGGCCUGGGCGGGAUGACAGAACCCGGCUUACAGUCCGGCUCCCAUU
rnacentral:RNase_P_RNA from 1 species